AAGUCGGCUUCCCGGGUCAGCCAAUCAGAGAUCUGUUGCGAGGUUGCCCGCGGGAAGAAGUGGAGAAUAGGUACGGCACGGGGGCGGGAGCGCCCUUGACGGGCAGGGGCGUGGCAAGAGGAGGGCGGAGUCUGGACGUUAAGCGUCGCAGAGCGCGUGCGCAGGAACGUGGAAAGUUCCAGGACACGGAACCGUUGGGGCGGAGGACCUGAGGGUGGAGCGAGGUAUCACGGGGUUUGUUGAUGACCUAGUCGGUCGAGGCCGGAAGCGUGGGCUACGGGGCUUUGAGCGGCACAGGGCUUUCAGCGGAAGUUGUCGAUCUGGCGCUGUGAUGGCGCCCCUCGUGACGCCUUGUAUCCCCUCAGGCUCGAGCCAGGAGCCUAGGUCCGCUUUGAAAAAUAGUAAAAGGCAGAAAGGCUCCUUGGUGUGAGAGGGAGGGCGGCUGCGCAGUCGGCUGGGUGAGAGAAGCGCCAGGCGGCCGCGUCGUGGCUGUGUCCGGGGCUGCUUUGCGCAGCCGACCGGUCCGCAGCCUCCUGCACUUACUGAGUUUGCGGCCUGGCCGGUGAGGGGCUCCUGGCGCCCCCCAGACAAGUGUGUGGAGAAUGGAGCCCGCGGAGCCACGCAUAGAGAGAGGGCGGGAGCCGGCUUGGUGGCGGCGCAGUCACUCGGGAGGCCCAGAUCCAAGAAUUCUCUCUUGGGAUCUGGAUCGGACCCCUUUCCUGUAACAGAAUUACAGGAGUGAGCCACAGCACCUGGCCUGGAAUUUCCACGCAUGAUUUGGAAGCACUAAAGAAAGGCCAUGUGAACACACAGCACGAAGAUGGCCUUCUGCAAGCCAGAGGCCUCACCAGGAACUAACUCUGUCAACACCUUGAUCUUGGAUUCCCAGCCUACAGAAGCAUGAGAAAAUAAAUUUCUGUUGUUUAAGCCACCCAUUCUAUGGUAUUUUGUUAUGGCAGCCCAAGCUGCCAUACAACUGUAUUUUCAUACAAUUGGUUUUGUUUUGAAUAUGCAUUUUAUUUUACAUAUUUAAAAUACUGGUCUGAGAAAGGGUCGUAGGCUUCACCAGACUGCCAAAGGAGUGCACGGCAUAGAAGUGGACAAGAACCCCUGGGCUCACUGGGUUCUAUGGGUGAGGUUGCUGUUUUCCUUGUUUUCCUCUACUUUGGAGGCUGGAAACUAAACCACUCAACUCCCUAGCCUCUCUUGCAGUUAAAAGCAGGCCUGUGUCUGAGCUCUGGUUAGUGAGGGAUAAGAGGGACCUGAUGUUCCAUGGGAGGAAUUUCUUUCUGGAAUAGAAUGAAAAAGCCUUUUGAGCAUAGACAUUUUUGCCUUUCUUUGCCUGUCUUUCUUCCUGGAUCAUGAUGCAGUGUCUAGAUGUGGAAAAACAAUUUUGCAAUUCUGAAAGUUGCAUGUCAAACAGAGCAGCCGAGACAGCAUGCUGGGGCUGAUGCAUUGGUCUUGGCUGACCACUUCUGGGUGUUCUGUCAAAUGAGAAAACUCAACAUAUUUGGCCAAGCCUCCGUAAUUCCAUGUCUGUUAAUUUGAAGCUGAAAGUAAAGCUAACUGAUAAGCCUGGCAAAUUAAGACUCAUGUUUAGCAGUAUUUCUCAAACUGGGAUCGCUGGACACCCAGAGUCCAUGGAUAUGUUCUUGAGAAUUUGAGAGCUCUGAAAGAAUUCUUUCAGUGUUGUGUGCUCAUGUUGAUGAUAAUCCAAAAUAUAUACAUAGAAAUAAGAAAGAAAAAAUAAUAUAUACACAUAGAUUUGUCUGUUAUAAACACUAAAGUCUCUUAGUCUUAUUUUAUUUAUUUAUUUUUUUGAGACAGAGUCUCACUCUAUCACCCAGGCUGGAGUGC